CAGCAGCCGCGGUAACACGUAGGGUGCGAGCGUUAAUCGGAAUUACUGGGCGUAAAGCGUGCGCAGGCGGUUGUGUAAGACAGGUGUGAAAUCCCCGGGCUUAACCUGGGAACUGCGCUUGUGACUGCACAGCUAGAGUAUGGCAGAGGGGGGUGGAAUUCCACGUGUAGCAGUGAAAUGCGUAGAGAUGUGGAGGAACACCGAUGGCGAAGGCAGCCCCCUGGGCCAAUACUGACGCUCAUGCACGAAAGCGUGGGGAGCAAACAGGAUUAGAUACCCGUGUAGUCCCUGUCUCUUAUAC
rnacentral:rRNA from 1 species